GAUGAACGCUGACAGAAUGCUUAACACAUGCAAGUCUACUUGAAUUUGGGUUUUUUAACUUAGAUUUGGGUGGCGGACGGGUGAGUAACGCGUAAAGAACUUGCCUCACAGCUAGGGACAACAUUUGGAAACGAAUGCUAAUACCUGAUAUUAUGAUUAUAAGGCAUCUUAGAAUUAUGAAAGCUAUAUGCGCUGUGAGAGAGCUUUGCGUCCCAUUAGCUAGUUGGAGAGGUAACGGCUCACCAAGGCGAUGAUGGGUAGCCGGCCUGAGAGGGUGAACGGCCACAAGGGGACUGAGACACGGCCCUUACUCCUACGGGAGGCAGCAGUGGGGAAUAUUGGGCAAUGGACCAAGAGUCUGAUCCAGCAAUUCUGUGUGCACGAUGACGUUUUUCGGAAUGUAAAGUGCUUUCAGUUGGGAAGAAAAAAAUGACGGUACCAACAGAAGAAGUGACGGCUAAAUACGUG
rnacentral:rRNA from 1 species